rnacentral:rRNA from 1 species
UACGAAGGGUGCGAGCGUUGUUCGGAAUUACUGGGCGUAAAGGGUUCGUAGGCGGAAUAAUAAGUCAAGUGUGAAAUCCCCGAGCUUAACUUGGGACGUGCAUUUGAAAUUAUAAUUCUUGAGUGAUGGAGAGGGUGGUGGAAUUGUUGGUGUAGGAGUGACAUCCGUAGAGAUCAGCAGGAACAUCAGAGGCGAAAGCGACCACCUGGCCGUAGACUGACGCUGAGGAACGAAAGCGUGGGUAGCAAACAGG